GACGAACGCUGGCGGCGUGCUUAACACAUGCAAGUCGAACGGUAAGGCCCUUCGGGUACGACGAGUGGCGAACGGGUGAGUAACACGUGGUGACCUGCCCUGCACUUUGGGAUAAGCCUGGGAAACUGGGUCUAAUACCGAAUAUGACCAUGGACUUCACGGUUUGUGGUGGAAAGCUUUUGCGGUGUGGGAUGGGCCCGCGGCCUAUCAGCUUGUUGGUGGGGUAAUGGCCUACCAAGGCGACGACGGGUAGCCGGCCUGAGAGGGUGACCGGCCACACUGGGACUGAGAUACGGCCCAGACUCCUACGGGAGGCAGCAGUGGGGAAGUAUUGCACAAUGGGCGGCAAGCCUGAUGCAGCGACGCCGCGUGGGGGAGUGACGGCCUCGGUU
rnacentral:rRNA from 1 species